CCCAAGUUCGAUCCCUGGUACAAAAAAAAAAAAAAAUGUUUGGGGAGAAAUUCCACACAAUGUGCUUCCAAGGCCAGAACAGCAUAUUUCACAGCAGCACACAGAGUGGUCUUGACUGUUUCUGGGUCAAUUUGAACCUCAUCUGGAUACAGAAACCUGAGCAGCACCGUGAAGGUGGCGGGCUCCAUCUUCAGCUGGAUAGGCCCACUUUGUGGCCAUGCCACCUUUCAACACGGCAUCAAAAGUGGUGAUGUCAGCUAUCAGCAAGAUGGGGUACUUGGGGUGCACUGUGGCCCCCCACUGUCCCACAGCUCUUAGCCAGCAUGACGCACUUGUCACUCAGCAGGUGCUAGGUGAACAUGCAACGGAUUUGGACCUAUGUGAAUUUAGCAUCAAAAGGAGAGAAUGUGAUGAUGUCUACUUGAUGUCACCUUUCUGAUCCCUCUCGCCGAUGUGUCAAGGGAGCUUUGAAGAAAGUUUGGGUACAGCUGUCCCCAGGUGGCUGUUACUCAGGAGAGGGGAAAGUAAAAUCUAGAGACAGGUGAAGUGUUCCAAAGGGCACUCCAGUUCUGUCCUCCCUAGGGGGGUCCUGUUGCCUUUCUACAGAAGCACACACAUUUGGAUAUUUGCAAUCAGAGCUCAUUGGAAGGAAGUUGUCCAGCACCUGUGAUGCAGCACAGAAGCCCUGGUUUCCUGGUCUCCUUUGCAGCCAGUCACAUCUGUGUCUACACCGCACUCUCUGAAAGGUUCCAUUUCGUGCUGCCUGGCAACUCCAGCCACCCACCUGCUGUUUCAGAGCUGGGAGCACAGCCUGUGGGCCAUGAUGAAUGCUCUGAAGCCAGUGCACUGACUCAUCUGAAGAGAAGCUGAUUGUCACUGAAUAAUUAAACAUCUCCCUUCCCCCAAACAUGA